GCUGCAGUAUCCUAACUGUACAAAGGUAGCAUAAUCAUUUGUUAUUUAAUUGAUAACUUGUAUGAAUGGCUUGAUGAAAAAUAUCCUUUCUUAAUUUCAUAUCAUUGAACUUAAUUUUUUAGUUAAAAAGCUAAAAUUUAAUUAUUAGACGAUAAGACCCUAUAGAACUUUAUUUUAAUUUUCUUAAAAUGAUUUUAGUUUAUUAUUUUUUUAUUUUCAUUAAAAUUUGAUUGGGGUGAUCAUUAAAAUUAACUAACUUUAAUAUUUUUGUUCGUAAAUUAGCGUUUAAUUGAUCCUGAUUGAAGAUUAAUAGAUCAAGUUACCUUAGGGAUAACAGCGUAAUUUUAUUGGAGAGUUCACAUUAAUAAUAAAGUUUGCGACCUCGAUGUUGGAUUAAA
rnacentral:rRNA from 1 species